GUCUGGCUAGCUCAGUUGGUAGAGCAUGAGAUUCUUAAUCUCAUGGUUGUGGGUUUGAGCCCCGUNUUGGGUG
rnacentral:tRNA from 1 species